AGCUGCAGGUGGCAGCAGAGCCGUAUGUUGGUGGUUCCCACCGGCAUCGUGCCUGUGGCACCGCCGGUGUAGCGGGACCGAGCCGUCUCCGUGCUCGCUUGCUGAGGCGCCUUCUCCUGAGGGCGGCUCGCAGCCCUCACACAGAAUGUUCCGAAAAGGCCAGGCAGCAGCGCCCUGCUCACAAAGCUCCCCUCCUCUGGGGUUUCUGCUGACAUUACCUGAAGUUCAGAAAUGAACAAAUUGUGGCUUCAGAUGUCGUCAUCAGAAGACAUUAAAGGCUAAAGGUCACUGGGUGUACAGGAAAUUUAAAGCAGCCACUUUAACCUCUGGAUCUUUAGUCUUCACUGAAGUCAGAAUAAUGGCACUUUAAAGGGUGCACAGACGGAUCUGCCCUCGCAGCGUGGUGUUGUGUCCUCGGUCACGCUGAAGGACCGGGAACAUAAACGGAAAGGACAAUUUCCACUGAGAUUCCCAUCAGGAUUCGGGCAUCGCGCGGUGCAG